GGCCGCGUGGCCUAAUGGCUAAGGCGUCAGAUUUCGGCCUCGCUCACCGAACUCUCUGAAGAUUCCAGGUUCGACUCCUGGCGUGGUCG